CGGAUUGUAGUCUGCAACUCGACUACAUGAAGCUGGAAUCGCUAGUAAUCGUAGAUCAGCAUGCUACGGUGAAUACGUUCCCGGGUCUUGUACACACCGCCCGUCACACCACGAGAGUUUGUAACACCCGAAGCCGGUGGAGUAACCAUUUUGGAGCUAGCCGUCGAAGGUGGGACAAAUGAUUGGGGUGAAGUCGUAACAAGGUAGCCGUAUCGGAAGGUGCGGCUGGAUCACCUCCUUUCUAA
rnacentral:rRNA from 1 species